rnacentral:lncRNA from 10 species
AUUAACUUCCUCCAAAGCAAAUUUACUGAUGAAACAUUGUUUUCUAGCUAUCUUUAACUUCUAGUACUUACCACAUUGUAAUACUUUUGUUUUAAUGUGAAUAUUUGUUUACCUCAUUAGAUAGUAAUGUUCAGUGUCUCACUUAUCUUUCUAGUGGCUUAUCUGGGACAGCUAACAAAUAAUGUAUAAAUAGAACUAUAGAAGAAAUGACUGUCUGCCAAAAUGUGUGCUUUCCCUUCCAUAUGGUUAAUUUGUUGCUCAGAGAGAGUUACCUAGCUAUGGACUACAUUUCCCAGCUCCUGUACAAUGCAGGGGACUAGUUCUCAGCAGUCAAAGUUUAGCAGAAGCAAUAUAACACUUCUAGAGCAGGGAUUUUAACAACUUGUUAUUUUCUCCUUUUGCUUUUGCCUUCCCCUUGCCGAAUACAGAGUAUUCCAAGGCACUGGAGAAAGAAGCAGCAAAAAUACAGAAGAAGUCUGUGUUCCUGAAGAACAAUGUGGAACUGAGCUACCUUUUCUGCCAGAAACACACUCAUUGGAAAAUGCAUAAAUCUAUGUCACACGGAAGACAAAGAAGCCUGAACACAAAGAAUCCUGAGAAAGUCUGUUCUGAAUGUUCCAGUCCAAUUUAUUUUCUGAUCUCUGUAUGACUCAACUCUGGGCCAUGCCAGUCUUAGACUCAGUCAAAUGCUGGAAAAGCUUCUUCUGGACUAAAGCACUUCAAUGACAUCUGUAAAAAAGAACUACAUUAGAAGACCUUUAUGUUCUGUAAACUGCAAUGAAAGCGGAAUUAUUUUCAACUUACUGUAUCUACUUUGAUGGUGGGUUGGAGUGUCACAUACCAUUUUAACCUAACACGGCAAUUUGUAUUCAGCACUGUGCUAAGUGUACUAGGGUCAGAGAAUACCUGAAAAUGCUAUUUUCAAGGAGUCUGCACCCUGGGGUGACAAUGCUACAAAGUGAAAAUAUGACAAACAAUAAAAAUAGUAAAAAUGCUCAAUUGUACAGUUUGGGAGAGCUACAGGCAUACUAGGCUAUAAGAGUCACAAAAAGGUUCAUAAGAAAAAAAAACAGACUGACUUAUAUCAUUAGGCACAGUUGCAGCAUAAUUUCCCUACUAUUGGCUUUUCUUGCCCCCACACCACCAUCUCAUCUUUAUUUUGCAUUGUCUACAUAAUUUAACAAAGUGAUAGACACAUAGGAGAUGCUCCAUGAGUGAUUGUAGCAUGGAUAGUGAUCAGGAGCACCUGAUGUAUGUGUCUAUUUGAGGGUUAAACAUUUUUCUACCAAUAAAAUAAUUGUGCAUUUUCUCAUAUCUCCAACAGUCAAUAAAAUGUAAUCAUAAUUAUGACUGUGUUCUCAAUCUGUGGUCUAACAGUGUUUGUGAUAUAUUCUACCAAUGCUCCUCCAAACUCAGAUGCAAUCUUAGUAAUAAACACUAUAAGUACCAAUGAUUAAUUAGGAAGAUUAAAGAAAUAUUAUCUCUUCAGAAAAAUUCUAUCUAAUUUCGGAUAGAAAUCCUCUUAAAAAUGCUAUUUCUCUUCAUGGAAAUAUUUCUCUACUUGGAAGAUUCUAAUUAACAUUAACAAACAGACUCUGUAUCACUUUGUUAUGAUGAAAACAGGGCAAAAAUACAUUUUUUUCUUUUUUACAGAAAAGGGAUGGGCGUGCUUUCCUUGUUGUUACCAUGAUGGAAAUGUGUCUGGUAUUCCUGUUUGUGUGCUAAGCUUAACAUAUUUCAAUGUUAUCUGGAAUUGGGUGAUCCUUCAACACUGUGUGAUAAGCCCAUUCUGUUUGUGCAUGUAAGCAUGUUAAAGAAAUGACUAAUAUAAAUCAAUGGAGAAUGAAUUAAACAAUAACAUAGCAGGUAAGCUAGUCAUUUAAAUUCCCUAGAAUAGUUCCCAGUGAAUUGUCCAUCAUUCACUGUUCUUUGCAGUUUAAGUGAAAUAUUACAGUAAGCAUCUUCUUUUCAAAGAAUAUCAAUUUUCCUUUACAAACAUAUUUUAUUUUAAGAAGAGCAAUAGUUUGUGAUAUAUGAAUAAUAAAAAUACCACUAUCAUAUCCACUUUGUCUUCUGUUCUUCUACAUAUGAAUAUGAGAAUAAUUUGCGUGAAAAUAAGAGGAGACUAAAAUUAUUAUGCAUCAAUUUUCUAAGAGCACUAUUUGGUUUUCAGAUUUAGAUUUAAUAGCAGUAAGCAGAGAGUGUAGGUAAAAACAAAUAUGCAAUUUUCUACACUUCUUGUCUUAGUACAUUCCUGCUGCUAUAACAAAAUACCUUAAGAUGGUUAACUUAUAAACCAUAUAUAUUCAUUGCUCACAAUUAUGGAGUCUGGGAAGUCCAAGAUCAAGCUGCUGACAGGUUCAGUGUCUGAUUAGGGUGGGUUGUCUGUUUUCAGAUGGUGCUUUGAACACUGUGUUCAGAGGAGAGGAGUGCUGUGUCCCCACAUGUCAGAAGGGAAAAUAUCCUAGCUAGUUUUCUCCAGUUCUUUUAUAAGUUUACUAAUUUGAUUCAUAAAAGCUCCACACUCAUGACUUAAUCACUUCCUAAAGUCUUCAACUCUUAAGACUUUCACAUUGGCAAUAUAGUUUCAACACAUGAAUUUUGAGAGGCAUGUUCGUAUCACAGCACCUCUUUAGCACAAAGCUAUUCUAUUCUUGAAUUUGGUUGCUUCAUGUUACCAAGAUUUCAAAACUUUACUUGUUUAAUUGAUGUUUGAAAUACUCCUUUUGCAAAAGUUUGUUUUGAAAGAAUAGGGAUUUGGGCUCUUCUAAACAGAGUUUUCAAGGUUGCCCACAUACCGAAAUUGUUCAGUUUGAGAAGGAAAUUUCUGAUCAGGAGUUCACCAGUUUUGCUCUAAUAUCACCUUUUCUGAUAUUUCUAGGAAUUGGGUUUCAUGGCUUGACAAUACUAAACAAAACUGACAUAAAAAUUGGAAAUGAGAAGGUCACAGUUUGUAACGCACUCUUCCAUACAGUGUUGGACUUGCUUCCUUUCGUUAUUUGUGUAGUUUUUCCUGCUAUAACCUUCAGAGCUCCAACCAGUUGAACUUUCAACUUGUGCUGUUAUUUUUUAGAAGAAUUGUGUGGAGAUUUUUUUCUUAUACUAGAAGGCCAAGGAGUUUAUUUUCUUUAUAGUAUUUUUUAAAACUUUUUUUGUUGUUGUUGUUACAGACUGGGUAGAGGCAUUCCACUGAGCAGUUAAAAGUUUAGACAAAAGUUAGCCAUCAAUGACAAAGUUUCUUGUAGAUUUUUUAUUCUAUUCUGUCUAUCGUUCACCAGAAAAUAGCUUUGUAAGUUUUCACUCCAGCUAUUAAAAUGGAAAUUUACACAUUUCCUAGGACAAGCAACAAUAAUAACUAAUAUUCACAUAUAUAUGUGUGUGUGUGUGAAGUUUACGAAUUCUUUCAUAAUCUGUAUUUUAUACAAAAAUAUAAUUACCACAGAAAUUUUGCUGCAAUAGUUAUUAUUACAAUCCUCAUUUUCAUAUGAGCAUGCUAAAACUCAAAGGAAAACCUGACCAAGUUCACAAACUGAUAAAUGAAAGAGCCAGGAAUAAAUCCAGACUUUUUAUAUUCCAAGUUUUCAAGUCUUUCCACUCCAACCAUAAGCCUUUCAUGAAGUCAACUUAUCCUUGCGAAAUGACUUUCUUACAAUGUAUUACACUUGAGUUGGUAUUUUAGCACUUUUUAGCACUGUUAGUAUCAGUGAAUAUGUGCUAAGUUGUAUCCACAGUCUGUAACACACACACACACACACACAUACACACACACACACACACAUAAUUAUUAACUACGGACCCUUUAAAUGCAGUUACAAGUACAACUACAAAAACACUUGUUUUAAGAGUAGCAGUCUUCAUUACAGAAAAGAGAGCCCUCAAUCAUUAAGAUACUAAAUGUCAUGUUUUACUAUGUAACACUUUCAUAUCAAAACAUUCCUGAUCAUAACCCAAUAAAACUCAGGGCAUCUUCCUCUGAAUUAUUCAGUCUUUACUGAUUUUUUGGCUCUGAAUUAAAGGAUAAAGCAUAAUUCAGCAACUAAUUAGAUGUGUACUUCUAUUUCUCUCUUAUGCUUCAUAAGUUUUUCAUCUUUCUGGCUAGAUUAUAAGUACCUUGAAAGAAGAGAUUGCCACAAACUCCUUUUUAUGUUCUAAAGAUUAUUUAGUAUAGGUCAUGGUGCAUAUUAGUAUCUAAGUAAAUAUGUAUAAUUUAUCAUAUCACAAAAUAAAGUAUUUUAAUGAUCUUUUGUCAGUUAUUAUAAACAGAUGAUAAAGUAUGGUUUUAAGUCACUCCCCUUGAUUGCUAGUUGUCUGUAAUUUAAUCUACAGCCAACCAUAUUCUCUAGACAUACAUGGUCCAUCACACCAUAAAACAUCUUGUACCAAAAAUCUACUAACAGGGAACUAUAACUUAAUACAAACUAGUUUCUUUUACUUACAUGAGAAAUCAGUCUUAUAAUGAAAAUCCACUCCUGAUAUAUCUUAGACAUGUUGUGGAGCACAUAGGGACUACAGUUUCAUUUGAAAGUUUGCAAGUGGCUACAUUCAAAGGGAAUAAUGCUGGUAAAGGGAGUCUGCUUUUCCUUCAUUGUUGAAUGCCCUGAUGAAUCAAUUAGGAUAUUUUUGUUGCAAGUGAUAGAAUGCACAAUUAAAACUGCUUUAAUAUAUGUAUUGAUUUGUCUAUAUUUCUAAAAAGUCCAGAAGUAGAGCUAGUUUCACAUAUGGUUACUCCAUUUCCCACAACUAUCUCUGCUCUACUCUAACAAUAGAAUUUAUUCUCAAGCAGACUUUGGUCAUGACAGCAAAAUUAUUGUACAUUUUCAGGCAUGACAAAUGUACAACAUGAUAUUCUCCCACCAAAUAGAAUGAGGUUUGGACAGAUAAUACAAUCUUUCAGCUGAUUCCUGUGCUUAAGGAAACACCAGAAGCUGAUUGCCUUAGGGAGAUGGGAUUCUUCUGAUUAGUGAGUACAAAUUAGAAAUCAGUCCCAAACUGAGUGUCAAUUCAAUUCCAACCACAAUUCAGAAGUAUGAAUGUUGGAGAAAAAAACUCACAAUGACUUCUACAAAAACCAAAAAACUGAUCAUUUCCAUAAAUAGAUCAUAUACUUGCACUUAGGUUAAUUAAUAAUAACCUCAAUAAAUAAUGAUAUUGUGAGUAACAAAGAAUAAGCCUGAUGCAUGAAUAUUUAUUUAUUUUUAAUUUUAUUUUAGACUUGGGAGUACACGUGCAGAUUUGUUACAAGGGUAUAAUGUGUGACUUUGAGUUUGGGGUGUGAAUGAUCCCAUUACCACGGUAACGAGCAUAGAACCCUUGUCCCUUUCUUGGAGUUCCCAAUGUCUAUUGUUGCCAUCUUUAUGUCCAUGUGUGCCCAGUGUUUAGCUCCCACUUAUAAUUGAAAACAUGGAAUAUUAGGUUUUCUGUUUCUGCAUUAAUUUGCUAAGGAUAAUGUCCUCCAGCUGUAUCCAUGCUACUGCAAGGAUGUGAUUUCUUUCAUUUUUAUGGCUGUGUAGUAUUCCAUGGUGUAUAUGUACCACUUUUUCUUUAUCCAGUCUACCGUUUAUAGGUGCCUGAGUUGAUUCCCCUGAUAAGCAUGUGAGUGCAGCUGUCUUUUUAGUAGAAUGAUUUAUUUCCCUUUGGGUAUAUACCCAGUAAUGGGAUCACUGGGUCCAAUGGUAAUUUUGUAUUCAGUUCUUUGAUAAGUAUCCAAACUGCUUUCCAUAGUGGCUGAACUAAUUUGCAUUCCUACCAACAGUGAAUAAGUGUUCCCUUUUCUUCUCAACUUCACUAACACCUGUUACUUCUUGACUUUUUAAUAAUAGCCAAUUCAACUGUAUAAGAUGGUAUCUCAUUGUGGUUUUGAUUUGCAUUUCUGAUGACUAGUGAUGUUUAAAAUUUUUACAUAUAUUUGUUGGCCACGUGGGUGUCUUCUUUUGAGAAAUGUCUGUUAAUUUCCUUUGCCCACUCUUAAAUGGGAUUAUUUGUAUUUUGCUCAAUGAUUUAAGUCUGUAGAUUCUGG